AACACAACGGUGUUCUACAAGCU
rnacentral:snRNA from 1 species